CACAAGCGGUGGAGUAUGUGGUUUAAUUCGAUGCAACGCGAAGAACCUUACCUGGUCUUGACAUCCCGGAGACCCUUAGGAAACUAGGGGUGCUUCCAUCUGGAAGAAUCUGGAGACAGGUGCUGCAUGGCUGUCGUCAGCUCGUGUCGUGAGAUGUUGGGUUAAGUCCCGCAACGAGCGCAACCCUUGCCUUUAGUUGCCAGCAGUCGGCUGGGCACUCUAAAGGGACUGCCGGUGUUAAACCGGAGGAAGGUGGGGAUGACGUCAAGUCCUCAUGGCCUUUAUGACCAGGGCUACACACGUACUACAAUGGCCGAUACGAAGGGCAGCGACACUGCGAGGUGAAGCCAAUCCCGUAAAAUCGGUCUCAGUCCGGAUUGGAGUCUGCAACUCGACUCCAUGAAGUUGGAAUCGCUAGUAAUCGUGGAUCAGCAUGCCACGGUGAAUACGUUCCCGGGCCUU
rnacentral:rRNA from 1 species